rnacentral:rRNA from 1 species
UACGUAGGGUGCAAGCGUUGUCCGGAAUUAUUGGGCGUAAAGAGCUCGUAGGCGGUCUGUCGCGUCGGCUGUGAAAACCCGAGGCUCAACCUCGGGCCUGCAGUCGAUACGGGCAAACUAGAGUACUGCAGGGGAGACUGGAAUUCCUGGUGUAGCGGUGAAAUGCGCAGAUAUCAGGAGGAACACCGGUGGCGAAGGCGGGUCUCUAGUACGGUACUGACGCUGAGACGCGAAAGCGUGGGGAGCGAACAGG